rnacentral:rRNA from 1 species
GACGAACGCUGGCGGCGUGCUUAACACAUGCAAGUCGAACGGAAAGGCCCUGCUUUUGUGGGGUGCUCGAGUGGCGAACGGGUGAGUAACACGUGAGUAACCUGCCCUUGACUUUGGGAUAACUUCAGGAAACUGGGGCUAAUACCGGAUAGGAGCUCCUGCUGCAUGGUGGGGGUUGGAAAUUUUCGGCGGUUGGGGAUGGACUCGCGGUUUAUCAGCUUGUUGGUGGGGUAGUUGCUUACCAAGGCUUUGACGGGUAGCCGGCCUGAGAGGGUGACCGGACACAGUGGGACUGAGAUACGGCCCAGACUCCUAGGGGAGGCAGCAGUGGAGAAUAUUGCACAAUGGGCGGAAGCCAGAUGCAGCAACGCCGCGUGCGAGAAGACGGCCUUCGGGUUGUAAACCGCUUUCGCCUGUGACGGAGCGUGAGUGACGGUAAUGGGUAAAGAAGCACCGGCUAACUACGUG